AUUGAACGCUGGCGGCAUGCCUUACACAUGCAAGUCGAACGGUAACGGGCCUUCGGGUGCCGACGAGUGGCGAACGGGUGAGUAAUACAUCGGAACGUGCCCGAUCGUGGGGGAUAACGAGGCGAAAGCUUUGCUAAUACCGCAUACGAUCUACGGAUGAAAGCAGGGGACCGCAAGGCCUUGCGCGGACGGAGCGGCCGAUGGCAGAUUAGGUAGUUGGUGGUAUAAAAGCUUACCAAGCCGACGAUCUGUAGCUGGUCUGAGAGGAUGAUCAGCCACACUGGGACUGAGACACGGCCCAGACUCCUACGGGAGGCAGCAGUGGGGAAUUUUGGACAAUGGGCGCAAGCCUGAUCCAGCCAUGCCGCGUGCAGGAUGAAGGCCUUCGGGCUGUAAACUGCUUUUGUACGGAACGAAAAGCCUUCUUUUAAUACAGGAGGGUCAUGACGGUACCGUAAGAAUAAGCACCGGCUAACUACGUG
rnacentral:rRNA from 1 species